AGUGGGUGUUGUCAAUUGGACGGAGUGCAGAAACCCACAAGGGGGGCCUCUCGAAACCCAGGAUGUUAUGUGUGUUUACCUAAUACGUCAUAUUUGAUGCGCCUUAAAAAAGUGAACGAGAAACGUUUACUUUACUCUUUUCGACACACGGACUGAUUUGGGACAUGUUCAGUUGUGGUGGGCUCCUGCUCUCUGUUUUCCUGAAAGGGAAUGAGUGGACAGAUGGAUGAAAGAAUGGAUGGAGCAGCUCUGCACUGAAGUUACUUAAUUACACUUUGAUGUUCCUACUCCAUUGAUGAUUUUCUUGAUGACAAUGACCGUCUGCUGUUCCAGACUUUACAUUAUUUGGCAUGCUGGAGUUCUGGUCCACUUCAUUGGUGCUGUCACCUUACCAUUUAAAGUGAACUGUAAGAAUCCACAGACUGCACAGAUCAACAGGAACUUCACCCUUAAUUGCACAACAGAGGGACAAAAUAGCGACGAGCUCACAUUUGUUCAGUGGUUUACAAGGGUGAUUCUUUACUGGCUGUGUACACUGAGAACUCAAACCACAAUGGGAACGAUCAGUCAACAAGAUUUGCAGUGGACGAGAAUCGAAUCAGACAAGGAGACAUCUCCCUAGACAUAACAGAUGUGCAAACAUUUGACGAAGGCAACUAUCACUACACAGUUUCAACAAGAAAAGUACUACGUGAAGGAAACGUAUUUUUGAAAGUAAAACUGCCUUAUAAAGUUGAAUGUCCAAGUCCACAGAUAGCCUUCCCAAAUAUGAAUACCUUAAUAAACUGCACAAUUAAGAACCUGAACAGUGAUACGCUGACAUAUGUCUUCUGGACCAAAGAUCACAAUAUUCUGGCCAGCUAUCGAAGAACAAAAACUGAAGUAACACCAGUUCAACAAUCCAGAUUUUCUCUCAGCCAAGAUACUAUCAGCCAAGGAGACUUCUCCCUUUACAUCAUGGAUGUACAACCAUCAGACAAUGGGCUGUAUCGGUAUUCACUGGGAAUUAAUAACACACGUGAAGAUGGGGAAGUGAUGCUUGAAAUAAGAGAUGCCCCUGGUGGAGGGUCUGGUUUUAUCCCUUGGUUUAAUUAUACACCUAUUACAGGCCUGGCUGUGUUGGUUUUAAUGCUGCGGAAUCUUCUGCCAUCUGCUAUCUUUGGCAGGAAGAAUGGGCAAGACAACAGGAUUAAUUGGCACUGAAUUAGAGCCAAUGGAAGAUAACUCAUUUUGGGCUUUCUACACCUCAGCAGCACUGAUCUUCUGUCUUCACGUGACACAAUGAAAACUGGAGCUUAUUGUGCGUUUUCCACUUUUCAUAGCUCAAGAAGUCCCUAAAGUCAGGAAAUGGAGAGUUGCCGUAGUCUGUGCUAUAGGUGGAACUUUGGCUUGUGUGGUCAUUGUUGCAGUUUUCCUCAUUAGACGAGAGGUAAUGUUUUGAUUCCAAUUAUUUAUGUUAUUAUUAUUUAUUGUCACUCUGAAAGACUGGGCUUGAAUCUUGUCACAGUCACUUUCACUGUGUAAAUUGAACAUUCCUAUCACAUCUACCACUGCAUGGCCAAAAAAAAAUAAGACUUACUUAAGAGCCAAUGAUCGGAUCAUGAUUGCAGUGUUUCAGAUGGCAAUAAUGUUUUUAAUUUAAACAACCAUGUCUGAAGACAUUUACUGUGGUUUGCCAAAAAGAUGUUACUGUGUUUUAGAGGAGGCAAAUUAUUGGCCGGUAGUAAAGAAGACAACUAGGGAGAUUGCUGAACUGAAUGGAAUUGGAUUACGAACUGUCCCAUGGAUUGUUAAAACCUGGUGGGACAGUGGCGAACCAUCAACUUCACGGAAGAAAUAUGGUCGUUAAAAAAAUGUGAAUGAUCAUGACUGGAGAUCACUGAAACACUUGUUGAAGUCAAAUCAUAGAAAAUCAACAGUAGAACUCACAUCUAUGUUUAAUAGUGAAAGUUCUACAUGAGAAUCGCAACAAGAACUUACAGGAUUGGGACUAAACAGCUGUGCUUUCAUAUUCACAUUCAAAGAUUGGACCGUGAAGCAAUGGGAAAAGAUCAUUAGGUCUGAUGAGGUCAGAUUUACCCUAUUCCUGAGCGAGGAGCGUAUCAGGGUAAGAAGUGAAGAGCACAAAGCAAAGGAUCCAUCAUACAUAGUGCCCACUGUACAAGUCACUGAGGGCAGUGAUAUGAUCUGGAGUUUCCUUAGUUGACCUGGUCUAGGAACAGCAAUAUUAUGCAGCAAUAAAAUGAAGUCAGCUGAAUACAUGAAUGUACUGAAUGACCAAAUUAUCCCAUCAAUGGAUUUGUUUCUUCCCUGAUGGCACAGACAUAUUCCAGAAUGACAUUGUCAAGAUUCCUUAGGCUCACAUUGUAAAAGAGUAGUUAAGGGAGCAUGAAGAAUCCUUUCCACACAUGAAUUGGCCACCACAGAGUCCCUAACUUCUACCUUGUUGGAAUCCUUUGUGAUGUGGUGGAGAAGACUUGAUGGAAUGACUUACCUAUCCCAUCAUCAGUACAAGACUUUGGAGAACAGUUAAUCUAAAUCUGGACACACAGUAAAUAUUAAGACAUUAACCAAAACAGUGCCAUGACAUAUGUGCACCGUAAUCAAAGCUAAAGGUGGUACAACAAAAUAUUAAAGUGUGCAACUUUUUUUUUUUUGGCCAGGCAGUGUAUGUAAGUUUUUCACUCCAAAGACCUAAAUUACAUUUUAACUUGCCUAUUGACUCUAAACAGGUUGGUGUGGCCAUGAUUGGACCCUUCCUUGCCUCAAUUAGAAGUUCCAUAUCCUUUAUAUUCCAAAUUGGGUUAUGUGAGUUUAGCAGAUGGGAUUUAUUUCUGCAGUAUCUGCCAGUAUGCAAAUGUAUUCAGUGCAUUUCAGUUUAUUCUUCUAUAGAUUAAAUUUACUAAAAGAAUAACUAUAGAAAGCUGACUAUGAGAGUGCAUGUUCUCCCUGUGUCCUUUUUUCCCAGGUAAUCUAGUAAGCCACCCCACCCCACAUCCCAUGGACAUAAGUGUUAAGUAAAUUGGUGACUGUAAGCUGACCCCAUGUGAGUCUGUGUGGGUGAAUUCAUGAGUGUGAUAGGCUGGUGUUUUGUCCAAGAUGGGUUCCUACUUUUUGCUCAAUACUGCCAGGAUAAGGUCCAGCUCCCCAUAACCCUGGAGUGGAUUACACAGGAACAGAUAAAUGUACCACCGUGACUGAAGUCUCCACAAGGAGACCAGAGAGUCUUCAGCUUGAAGAACGCGAACCACAGAAUGAGGAAUCAGCUCCACUGGAUGAAUGACAAAGACGCGGAGACUUAACAGCCUGAAAUAGGUUGUUACAGAAGUAUGCCAUCGCUUCCAAGUUAUCCAGUUCCCAAAAUGUUUUGUCGCUGCAUGCCAGAGACACCGCGAUCAUCAGCUGCAGUCUUUCAGGUUAGGCUGCCAAACUUUACUCCUGGAAUAAAACUCCAGAAUUCAAAAAUGGGACAAAGGGAUCACAUGAAGACCUUUUCAAUAAUAGCCGGGAUUUACAUCUCUAUCUGGAACUGUGAGGAUUGUGAACGUGACGAUUUCUGACAAUGGCGUGUAUUACUGCACCGCCAUCCAGGUGUGCAACAGAACCCGUGGUGGAGAAGAAAGGGACUCGCUUACAAGUCAUCGUGACUCCCAGAUUGCAUCUCCAGUUGAAUUUCUAAUCUACUAACUCUAAGCUCCUAACCCUGAACUGCAGCGCUGUGGGUUUCUACACUUUCAAUGUCACUCUGUCCUGGCAUCAUUCUCUCCCUGGGGUCCCCCAUACCACCCAGCAGGACACCCCCAUUCGCCUAGAGAAUGGCACCUACAGGACCUCCUCCACUCUGCUGGUGAGCACUGCACUGUGGACACCCGGGACAGAGAUUGGAUCACAUGUCAAUGACAAGACCACUGAAGAAGUAUAUUAGGAGACCAUUCGAGACAUGUAAGGGUGAAAAUUGUUAUUAAACUUCAUGUAAAUCAUAACUGCAGUUUAUUUUUCAAAUGUGUGUUUUUAUAGUGUGAAUUACUUAAUGAUGUAACAUGCAUGAAUGUUUUUUAUUUAAUAUUUGUUUCUUCUAGUGUGUUGAUGGACUGCACUGCUGUACAUUAAUAAAAUAACACUACAAGCCAAAA